UACGGAGGGUGCAAGCGUUGUCCGGAAUCACUGGGCGUAAAGGGCGCGUAGGCGGCUGUUACCGUCAGAUGUGAAAUUCCCGGGCUCAACCUGGGGGCGGCAUUUGAUACGUAGCGGCUUGAGUGGGGAAGAGGGUCGUGGAAUUCCCAGUGUAGAGGUGAAAUUCGUAGAUAUUCGCAAGAACACCAGUGGCGAAGGCGGCUCACUGGCCCGGUACUGACGCUGAGGUGCGAAAGCGUGGGAGCAAACAGG
rnacentral:rRNA from 1 species